GGUAUAUAGCUCAGUUGGUAGAGUGCUUUCCUCCCAUGCACAAGGCCCUGGGUUCAAUUCCCAGCACCA
rnacentral:tRNA from 1 species